rnacentral:rRNA from 1 species
CCUACGGGAGGCAGCAGUGGGGAAUAUUGGGCAAUGGGCGCAAGCCUGACCCAGCAACGCCGCGUGAAGGAAGAAGGCUUUCGGGUUGUAAACUUCCUUUAAGGGGGAAGAGCAGAAGACGGUACCCCUUGAAUAAGCCACGGCUAACUACGUGCCAGCAGCCACGGUAAUACGUAGGUGGCAAGCGUUGUCCGGAUUUACUGGGUGUAAAGGGCGUGCAGCCGGAGAGACAAGUCAGAUGUGAAAUCCACGGGCUCAACCCGUGAACUGCAUUUGAAACUGUUUCCCUUGAGUGUCGGAGAGGUAAGCGGAAUUCGUUGUGUAGCGGUGAAAUGCGUAGAUAUAAGGAAGAACACCAGUUGCGAAGGCGGAUUACUGGACGAUAACUGACGGUGAGGCGCGAAAGCGUGGGGAGCAAACAGGAUUAGAUACCCGUGUAGUC